AUCAGUGUCUAUUGCAGCAAGUCAAGAUAUACAAGCAUUGAUCAUCAAAAUACCCUGCCAUUUGAAAACUGUACAAUACGUCGGGAAGUUGGUAGGAAUUGGGACAAGUGGGAAACCUUUGGCUUGCUUUCUUCUUGAGGUUUUGCAUCAGUACCAUUAAGAUCUUCGUGAGCCUUUUUGAUCUUUUAACGAAGACAUAAUUCUUC